rnacentral:rRNA from 1 species
UACGGGGGGAGCAAGCGUUGUUCGGAUUUACUGGGCGUAAAGGGCGCGUAGGCGGCCACCGCAAGUCGACUGUGAAAUCUCCGGGCUUAACUCGGAAAGGUCAGCCGAUACUGCGGGGCUAGAGUGCAGAAGGGGCAACUGGAAUUCUCGGUGUAGCGGUGAAAUGCGUAGAUAUCGAGAGGAACACCUGCGGCGAAGGCGGGUCUCUGGGCAGUAACUGACGCUGAGGAGCGAAAGCGUGGGGAGCGAACAGG